rnacentral:rRNA from 1 species
ACGAACGCUGGCGGCGUGCUUAACACCUGCAAGUCGAACGGAAAGGCCCUGCUUUUGUGGGGUGCUCGAGUGGCGAACGGGUGAGUAACACGUGAGUAACCUGCCCUUGACUUUGGGGUAACUUCAGGAAACUGGGGCUAAUACCGGAUAGGAGCUCCUGCUGCAUGGUGGGGGUUGGAAAGUUUCGGCGGUUGGGGAUGGACUCGCGGCUUAUCAGCUUGUUGGUGGGGUAGUGGCUUACCAAGGCUUUGACGGGUAGCCGGCCUGAGAGGGUGACCGGCCACAUUGGGACUGAGAUACGGCCCAGACUCCUACGGGAGGCAGCAGUGGGGAAUAUUGCACAAUGGGCGGAAGCCUGAUGCAGCAACGCCGCGUGCGGGAUGACGGCCUUCGGGUUGUAAACCGCUUUCGCCUGUGACGAAGCGUGAGUGACGGUAAUGGGUAAAGAAGCACCGGCUAACUACGUG